rnacentral:misc_RNA from 1 species
GAUGAAGAACGUAGUGAAAUGCGAUAAUUAAUGUGAAUUGCAGAAUUCAGUGAAUCAUCGAGUCUUUGAACGCACAUUGCGCCCCCUGGUAUUCCGGGGGGCAUGUCUGUCCGAGCGUCAUUGCUGCCCUCAAGCACGGCUUGUGUGUUGGGCUUCCGUCCCUGGCAACGGGGACGGGCCCAAAAGGCAGUGGCGGCACCAUGUCUGGUCCUCGAGCGUAUGGGGCUUUGUCACCCGCUCCCGUAGGUCCAGCUGGCAGCUAGCCUCGCAACCAAUCUUUUUAACCAGGUUGACCUCGGAUCAGGUAGGGAUACCCGCUGAACUUAAGCAUAUCAAUAAGCGGAGGA